CGGGGUGUAGCUCAGCCCGGUUAGAGUACGCGUCUGGGGGGCGUUGACAUUCAGUAGUAUAAAUUCUAAAAAUCAAAGAGAUAGAAAAAUAUAAAGAUUUAAAAUCGGCUCCUGGGGGGCGUGUGGUCGCUGGUUCGAAUCCAGUCACCCCGA
rnacentral:tRNA from 1 species